rnacentral:rRNA from 1 species
GGAUGAACGCUGGCGGCGUGCUUAACACAUGCAAGUCGAACGAAGCAUUUAGGACAGAUUACUUCGGUUUGAAGUUCUUUAUGACUGAGUGGCGGACGGGUGAGUAACGCGUGGGUAACCUGCCUUGUACUGGGGGAUAGCAGCUGGAAACGGCUGGUAAUACCGCAUAAGCGCACAAUGUUGCAUGACAUGGUGUGAAAAACUCCGGUGGUAUAAGAUGGACCCGCGUCUGAUUAGCUAGUUGGUGAGAUAACAGCCCACCAAGGCGACGAUCAGUAGCCGACCUGAGAGGGUGACCGGCCACAUUGGGACUGAGACACGGCCCAGACUCCUACGGGAGGCAGCAGUGGGGAAUAUUGCACAAUGGAGGAAACUCUGAUGCAGCGACGCCGCGUGAGUGAAGAAGUAAUUCGUUAUGUAAAGCUCUAUCAGCAGGGAAGAUAGUGACGGUACCUGACGAAGAAGCUCCGGCUAAAUACGUG